GACGAACGCUGGCGGCGUGCUUAACACAUGCAAGUCGAACAGAAAGGCCCUGCUUUUGUGGGGUGCUCGAGUGGCGAACGGGUGAGUAACACGUGAGUAACCUGCCCUUGACUUUGGGAUAACUUCAGGAAACUGGGGCUAAUACCGGAUAGGAGCUCCUGCUGCAUGGUGGGGGUUGGAAAGUUUCGGCGGUUGGGGAUGGACUCGCGGCUUAUCAGCUUGUUGGUGGGGUAGUGGCUUACCAAGGCUUUGACGGGUAGCCGGCCUGAGAGGGUGACCGGCCACAUUGGGACUGAGAUACGGCCCAGACUCCUACGGGAGGCAGCAGUGGGGAAUAUUGCACAAUGGGCGGAAGCCUGAUGCAGCAACGCCGCGUGCGGGAUGACGGCCUUCGGGUUGUAAACCGCUUUCGCCUGUGACGAAGCGUGAGUGACGGUAAUGGGUAAAGAAGCACCGGCUAACUACGUGCCAGCAGCCGCGGUGAUACGUAGGGUGCGAGCGUUGUCCGGAUUUAUUGGGCGUAAAGGGCUCGUAGGUGGUUGAUCGCGUCGGAAGUGUAAUCUUGGGGCUUAACCCUGAGCGUGCUUUCGAUACGGGUUGACUUGAGGAAGGUAGGGGAGAAUGGAAUUCCUGGUGGAGCGGUGGAAUGCGCAGAUAUCAGGAGGAACACCAGUGGCGAAGGCGGUUCUCUGGGCCUUUCCUGACGCUGAGGAGCGAAAGCGUGGGGAGCGAACAGGCUUAGAUACCCUGGUAGUCCACGCUGUAAACGGUGGGUACUAGGUGUGGGGUCCAUUUCACGGGUUCCGUGCCGUAGCUAACGCUUUAAGUACCCCGCCUGGGGAGUACGGCCGCAAGGCUAAAACUCAAAGGAAUUGACGGGGCCCCGCACAAGCGGCGGAGCAUGCGGAUUAAUUCGAUGCAACGCGUAGAACCUUACCUGGGUUUGACAUGGAUCGGGAGUGCUCAGAGAUGGGUGUGCCUCUUUUGGGGUCGGUUCACAGGUGGUGCAUGGCUGUCGUCAGCUCGUGUCGUGAGAUGUUGGGUUAAGUCCCGCAACGAGCGCAACCCUUGUUCACUGUUGCCAGCACGUUAUGGUGGGGACUCAGUGGAGACCGCCGGGGUCAACUCGGAGGAAGGUGGGGAUGACGUCAAGUCAUCAUGCCCCUUAUGUCCAGGGCUUCACGCAUGCUACAAUGGCUGGUACAGAGAGUGGCGAGCCUGUGAGGGUGAGCGAAUCUCGGAAAGCCGGUCUCAGUUCGGAUUGGGGUCUGCAACUCGACCUCAUGAAGUCGGAGUCGCUAGUAAUCGCAGAUCAGCAACGCCGCGGUGAAUACGUUCCCGGGGCU
rnacentral:rRNA from 1 species